UGUGCCAUUCCACCGUUUUCGACAGUUGGUAUUCCACUCUACAUUUCGACAAAAUUCGAGUUGGCUCCUAACGCCACUGAUCCGCUUGUAAACUGUUGCAAAUUGUCUAGUUAAUAAAUAAUUCCAUAGUACUUACUCUAAUUGACCUUUUUGCCAAUGUAGAGCGCGAAAAAGUAGAGUCGAAAAUUCUCCGAUAUUCGACUCUACGCGUAAACAUAUCGAAUAUUCCACCGUUUUCGACAGGCAGAGAAUUCGGUGUAAAUCGAAAGAUAUUGCAAAGAGAGGGUCCAGUAUAAGUAAAAUAUGUGUUUUAGCCUUUAAUUAGCAUGCCUAAUUGGUUCGGCGGCCGAAAAACUUCGGCUUAUUAAAUCGGUAAUCUAAGGCAGUGACGGUGGCAGCACCGGUAACCGGUAUCGCACUUAGCAGCUGGUGUGAGGGCGAGCCGCGCCCACAUUAGCAAAAUAUAUUAUACAUCAUUGCCGGCUCGCGCAAUGCUCAAAUAAAGCGCCUGACGAAGGGUUCUCAGGUAAACUCAGGCUACCCUGAGCCUGAGCAGCGUGGGAAGCGGGAGUUCUGCGUGUCUGUUGUGCGCCAGAACGCGUUUGUGUGUGAUUGAAGCUGUCCAUUCACAUCCUUCCUGAUGUUCAUGACGCGUAUGUGACAGGCACAACGUCAGACAGAUAUUUUGGUUUGAACGGGCGCGAGAUUCAGCGACAGAAGAAUUAUUUCUGCGGAGGAAAUCGGCCUCGGAUAUACCCUCCGAACUUUACUAUGUAUUUAAAUUUCACCGAAUUAAUUAUGCUCAUUUUUCUGUACAUAUUUAAAAUUAUACUGGUGUUUCAAAUUUUUUAUUUAUUUUGAAAUUUUACAGGGUUGGGAAGCAUCAGUUUUAUUUUGAGACCUGGGAUAUUUUUUAGAGUUGUCGGCGAGGAUGACGUCGUGUUCGGAAUCACAGUUAAUUUUUUUCUGGCGUUUUAAUUAUGGAGUUUUCAUCUGAUUCAUCGUAUUUUGUACCUUCAGUCGUAUCAUCCCAGCAAGAAAAUGGAUAUCCGAAGGAUAUUCAAAAUGUAUGCGGAAUAUCUGGAGGAUUUACAUCUGUACAGCCCGAUGUCAUUGGGCGGAUUCAUGUCCCGGAUAUCAAAUUUCUUGCUGGGAUGUUUUUUCGCAUUUCUGCUUUAUUUAUUUCUGAUUUAUUCAAAAUAAUAAUAUAACGAAUUUUUGGAUCUAGUUUAAAACCGAUUAAUUUGAAUUAGAACCAAUAAAUGUGUCGAAAUAUGAACGUAGAAUUUUUUUCUGAGUUACUUGUCCUUAAAUUUGAAUUAAUUUUUGAAGAAUAAAUUAAAUACUGAUUUAAAAUUAGGCCAUUUAAUUGUAUCAAUUUGUUUUCUUUAAUUUAAUUUUACAGGUCGAAUAAUUCACUUUGGCGAAAAUUACAGAUGGACUGAACUUGGUGAAAAUUAAGCAGAGAUAAGACACAAGAUGGUAAAAAUUAUUAUUUACACAAAUAUUGACAUGCAUAAAACGGCAACUAUAAAAAAUUAAAUACGUGUGCGCUAA